UACGGAAGGCAGCAGUGGGGAAUAUUGCACAAUGGGCGCAAGCCUGAUGCAGCCAUGCCGCGUGUAUGAAGAAGGCCUUCGGGUUGUAAAGUACUUUCAGCGGGGAGGAAGGCGGUGAAGUUAAUAGCUUCACCGAUUGACGUUACCCGCAGAAGAAGCACCGGCUAACUCCGUGCCAGCAGCCGCGGUAAUACGGAGGGUGCAAGCGUUAAUCGGAAUUACUGGGCGUAAAGCGCACGCAGGCGGUCUGUCAAGUCGGAUGUGAAAUCCCCCGGGCUUAACCUGGGAACUGCAUUCGAAACUGGCAGGCUAGAGUCUUGUAGAGGGGGUAGAAUUCCAGGUGUAGCGGUGAAAUGCGUAGAGAUCUGGAGGAAUACCGGUGGCGAAGGCGGCCCCUGGACAAGACUGACGCUCAGGUGCGAAAGCGUGGGGAGCAAACAGGAUUAGGAUACC
rnacentral:rRNA from 1 species